rnacentral:rRNA from 1 species
AUUGAACGCUGGCGGCAGGCCUAACACAUGCAAGUCGCGCGAGAGGCGGACGGGUGAGUAAUGUAUGGGUAUCUGCCCUAUACUGGGGGAUAACUACUGGAAACGGUGGCUAAUACCGCCUACUAUCGGAUGAACCCAUAUGGGAUUAGCUAGUGGGUGGGGUAAAGGCUCACCUAGGCGCCUAUCUCUAGCUGGUCGGAGAGGAGGAUCAACCCCACUGGUACCGAGACACGGUCCAGACUCCCACGGGAGGCAGCAGUGGGGAAUAGUGCACAAUGGGCGCAAGACUGAUGCAGCCAUGCCGAGUGUACGAAGAAGGCCUUAGGGGUGUAAAGCACUUUCAUCGGGGAGGCGUUACCUGAAGAAGACGCACCCGGCAACUCCGUGCCAGCAGCCGCGGUAAUUC